GGGCGAAUGCCAGAGCGGCCAAUUGGGACGGGCUGUAAACCCGUUGGCUUACGCCUACGCAGGUUCGAAUCCUGCUUCGCCCA
rnacentral:tRNA from 1 species